GGGUGUAUAGCUCAGUGGUAGAGCACAUGCUUAGCAUGCAUGAGGUCCUGGGUUCAAUCCCCAGUACCUCCU
rfam:Camelus ferus unplaced genomic scaffold scaffold2807, whole genome shotgun sequence.